rnacentral:rRNA from 1 species
UACAGAGGGGGCAAGCGUUGUUCGGAAUUACUGGGCGUAAAGGGCGCGUAGGCGGCCUGUUAAGUCGAACGUGAAAUCCCCGGGCUCAACCCGGGAACUGCGUCCGAUACUGGCAGGCUUGAAUUCGGGAGAGGGAUGUGGAAUUCCAGGUGUAGCGGUGAAAUGCGUAGAUAUCUGGAGGAACACCGGUGGCGAAGGCGGCAUCCUGGACCGAUAUUGACGCUGAUGCGCGAAAGCCAGAGGAGCAAACGGG